GGGUGGGGGAGGAGCUGGGUGUCAUCGCAGGCACUUUGAUAGCUUGGGGGGCCUGGUCUUCCUCUUCCGGAACUUGUCCGUGAAGGUAAUGAGCUAAGGAGCGUCUUCUUGAUUGCAGGCCAGUAGGCAGAAAGGUUCUCUAACAAACACCUGCGGCGUGCCCAGCCUCCACAUUUGCAGGGAGUGGGGCUCCUCACCUCCCCGGGACAGCCAGGCUCAUCCUAGGGACAGACCUUGAAGAAACAUGGCUUCUGAAACUUAUGACGGUGCCUCUUCCUGCGUCUGCUCGAUGCAGAUGGUGAAGCUGAUUGUCUACGGCCAGGAUUGACCUGGUCCUGCUGUGGACGUUUAAGGGAUUCCUAUUAUGAACAAAUGACUCAAACAUCUGCCAGAAUUCAGUGCAGCCUGGGGAAGAAAGCCCAAAGGCAGGAGCAGAUGGAAGCCCUACCCAGCCUGCAGGGGCAGGAGGGACCAGCACAUGCCCCAGGAUACAUCGUGCCCCUGAGAGAAGACCCAGGUGGCUCCUGGAGCCAGGGGCUGAGGGUGAAGGGCACCCUGGGCCAGGGAGAGACAUUCAGAGUACAAAUGCAAUCUCGGGUGUGACCUUGAGGACACAGAAACCAGUUGUGGAGGACACUGAAGAUAAGGACCCAGAAGCCAGAGGCUUCAUACAUGAACCCUCCAUGGAUACUGAAGAGGAAUAUUCAGGCUUUCCCUGGAUGGGACCACGGGCAGCUCUGAGCAGGAGGAGGUGCAGGGUCUGUAAAGCACAUCACAGAAGGGAGGGUGCAGUGUCAGAGACAUCUGCCAUCGGGAACCAGAAAGCACACACGUGCACACACCACACAAGCUUAUAUGCACAUACAGCACACACUCCACACAUCACAUACAUGUAUCACACAUGCAUAAUCCCAUACACAGCACACACUACAGACAUGCAUCACAU